rnacentral:rRNA from 1 species
GUGCCAGCCGCCGCGGUAAUACGUAGGGUGCGAGCGUUAAUCGGAAUUACUGGGCGUAAAGCGUGCGCAGGCGGUUUUGUAAGCCAGAUGUGAAAGCCCCGGGCUUAACCUGGGAAUGGCAUUUGGGACUGCAAGGCUUGAGUGCGGCAGAGGAGACUGGAAUUCCCGGUGUAGCAGUGAAAUGCGUAGAUAUCGGGAGGAAUACCGAUGGCGAAGGCAGGUCUCUGGGCUGACACUGACGCUCAUGCACGAAAGCGUGGGGAGCAAACAGGAUUAGAAACCCGAGUAGUCC